GUGCCAGCAGCCCGCGGUAAUACGGGAGGGGGCAGAGCGCUAAUCGGUAUUUACUGUGCGUAAAGCGCACGCAGUGCGGUCUGCUUAUGUCUGAUGUGAAAUCCCCGUGCUCACACCUGGGAAGUGCAUUCGAACACUGACAGGCUAGAGUCUUGUAGAGGGGGGGUAGAAUUCCAGGUGUAGCGGUGAAAUGCGUAGAGAUAUGGAGGAACACCGGUGGCGAAGGCGGCCCCCUGGUUAAUGACUGACGCUCAGGUGUGAAAGCGUGGGGAGCAAACAGGAUUAGAUACCAUGGUAGUCCAUGCUGUAAACGAUGUAGACUAGGAGGUUGUGCCUGUGAGGCGUGCCUUCCGGAGUUAACGCGAUAAGUCAACCGCCUGGGGAGUACGGCCGCAAGGUUAAAACUCAAAUGAAUUAACGGGGGCCCGCCCAAGCGGUGGAGCAUUUGGUUUAAUUAGAUGCAACGUGAAGAACCUUCCCUACUUUUGACAUCCAGGGAACUUACCAGAGAAGAAUUGGUCCCUUCGGGAAAUAUUAUACAAGGUCUGCCAGGGUGUUGUUCACUUCUGUUCUUGAAUUGUGGGGUUAAGUCCGGCACGGGGGCAACCCCUAUCCUUUAGUUGCCAUCAUUAAGUUGGGAACUCUAAGGAGACUGCCGGUGAUAAACUGGAGGAAGGUGGGGAUGACGUCAAGUCAUCAUGGCCCUUAUGCCUAGGGCUACACACGUGAUACAAUGGCCGGUACAAAGGGAAGCGACCUCGCGAGAGCAAGCA
rnacentral:rRNA from 1 species